UAAACCUUGUUUAAGCUUUGUUGGCCAUUUUUAUUCCUUCAUCUUGUACUUGCCAAUAUUGAAAGGGAGAACAAAACACAUUUGAGAUAGUAGAACACAGAAACUGAAAAAAAUCUCAAAUAGACUAACACUAUCAAAGUCUAGUUCAUAAGUACUUCAAAAGUUUUAAGCUCUCAGUUCACAAUUCAUUACAAGUUGCUCAAAGCCACUACUCAUCAAGACAUCAACAUCCCAAAAAGCCUAUAAAGAGCCAAAAUUCAAAGACCCAUUUCACCAAGUGAGACUACUUGCUUCUUAAGAUUGAGCAUCCCAUUAGACUCCAUAAAAUGAAUGCCAUAUGAUACUUUUCUCAUCACCCUGAAAUACGAUUUACCAUAAAUAUAUGAUGACCACUAGUUUCGCAUGAUCAGUACUUCCAUUUUCAUAUCAAAACUACACAGAUUCAUCCUUCCACUACUCAGUUGCUUGGGUGGGGG
rnacentral:misc_RNA from 1 species